AGGUAAGCUACUAAGAGCGAAUGGUGGAUGCCUUGACUGGUAAAGGCGAUGAAGGACGUACUAGACUGCGAUAAGCUACGGGGAGCUGUCAAGAAGCUUUGAUCCGUAGAUUUCCGAAUGGGGCAACCCAAUGUAUAGAGAUAUACAUUACCUAUAUAGGAGCGAACGAGGGGAAUUGAAACAUCUUAGUACCCUCAGGAAAAGAAAUCAAUAGAGAUUGCGUCAGUAGCGGCGAGCGAAAGCGCAAGAGGGCAAACCCAGUGCUUGCACUGGGGGUUGUAGGACUGCAAUGUGCAAGAGGUAAGUUUAGCAGAACAUUCUGGAAAGUAUAACCAUAGAGGGUGAUAGUCCCGUAUGCGAAAAACAAACCUUAGCUAGCAGUAUCCUGAGUAGGGCGGGACACGAGGAAUCCUGUCUGAAUCCGGGUCGACCACGAUCCAACCCUAAAUACUAAUACCAGAUCGAUAGUGCACAAGUACCGUGAGGGAAAGGUGAAAAGAACUGAGGUGAUCAGAGUGAAAUAGAACCUGAAACCAUUUGCUUACAAUCAUUCAGAGCCCUAUGUAGCAAUACAGGGUGAUGGACUGCCUUUUGCAUAAUGAGCCUGCGAGUUGUGGUGUCUGGCAAGGUUAAGCAAACGCGAAGCCGUAGCGAAAGCGAGUCUGAAUAGGGCGCUUAGUCAGAUGCUGCAGACCCGAAACGAAGUGAUCUAUCCAUGAGCAAGUUGAAGCUAGUGUAAGAACUAGUGGAGGACUGAACCCAUAGGCGUUGAAAAGCCCCGGGAUGACUUGUGGAUAGGGGUGAAAGGCCAAUCAAACUUCGUGAUAGCUGGUUCUCUCCGAAAUAUAUUUAGGUAUAGCGUUGUGUCGUAAUAUAAGGGGGUAGAGCACUGAAUGGGCUAGGGCAUACACCAAUGUACCAAACCCUAUCAAACUCCGAAUACCUUAUAUGUAAUCACAGCAGUCAGGCGGCGAGUGAUAAAAUCCGUCGUCAAGAGGGAAACAACCCAGACUACCAGCUAAGGUCCCUAAAUCUUACUUAAGUGGAAAACGAUGUGAAGUUACUUAAACAACCAGGAGGUUGGCUUAGAAGCAGCCAUCCUUUAAAGAAAGCGUAAUAGCUCACUGGUCUAGUGAUUUUGCGCGGAAAAUAUAACGGGGCUAAAGUAAGUACCGAAGCUGUAGACUUGCACACAACUUAGAUUAUUUAAGUUUAGAAUAUGAGAAACUAAGUUAUAUGUUUAGUUAUAUUUUUACUGAUUUUUAUAGAGUAAAGAUAGAAAUAAAACUUAGUAAAAUCAGUAAAAAUAUUCUUAGACUAAAGUUAAGUAGUUUAAGUUGUGUGCAAGUGGUAGGAGAGCGUUCUAUUUGCGUCGAAGGUAUAC
rnacentral:rRNA from 1 species